rnacentral:rRNA from 1 species
AACGAACGCUGGCGGCAUGCCUAACACAUGCAAGUCGAACGAGACCUUCGGGUCUAGUGGCGCACGGGUGCGUAACGCGUGGGAACCUGCCCUUAGGUUCGGAAUAACUCCCCGAAAGGGGUGCUAAUACCGGAUAAUGUCUUCGGACCAAAGAUUUAUCGCCUUUGGAUGGGCCCGCGUUGGAUUAGCUAGUUGGUAGGGUAAAAGCCUACCAAGGCGACGAUCCAUAGCUGGUCUGAGAGGAUGAUCAGCCACACUGGGACUGAGACACGGCCCAGACUCCUACGGAAGGCAGCAGUGGGGAAUAUUGGACAAUGGGCGAAAGCCUGAUCCAGCAAUGCCGCGUGAGUGAUGAAGGCCUUAGGGUUGUAAAGCUCUUUUACCCGGGAUGAUAAUGACAGUACCGGGAGAAUAAGCUCCGGCGAACUCCGU